rnacentral:rRNA from 1 species
AUUGAACGCUGGCGGCAGGCCUAACACAUGCAAGUCGAGCGGAGCGGCGGAAGGGUGAGUAAUGCCUAGGAAGCUGCCCGGUAGUGGGGGAUACCGUCCGGAACCGGGCGCUAAUACAGCAUACUAUCAGAUGAGCCUCGGGCGGAUUAGCUAGUUGGUGGGGUAACGGCCUACCAAGGCGACGAUCCGUAACUGGUCUGAGAGGAUGAUCAGUCACACUGGAACUGAGACACGGUCCAGACUCCUACGGGAGGCAGCAGUGGGGAAUAUUGGACAAUGGGCGAAAGCCUGAUCGAGCCAUGCCGCGUGUGUGAAGAAGGUCUUCGGAUUGUAAAGCACUUUAAGUUGGGAAGCGGUACCAACAGAAUAAGCACCGGCUAACUACGUGCCAGCAGCCGCGGUAAUAC